rnacentral:lncRNA from 1 species
CCCUCCCUGCACCAAUGACUAAGCUGACCUCUAUAGGACUAAAUAAGCAUUUUUUUUAUAAACAGCAUACAUUGGUGAGUGUGUACAGCAUAUCAAGUAACCAUAACAUUUACAGAGGUUAAAUGUCCUUGCAGAAUCCAAUGUAGCUUUUUACACAAGCCAAGUAGAAAGCAAUAAUAUUUUAAUGGUGUCAGUACCUUAUCGGCUGCUGAUAGUCGUGUCCAUGGUUUAUCUGCUCGUCUGUCGUAGUCCUGUGCUUUUGCCACUUCCACAUAAUCACUGAAUCGAAUCAGGAUCUUUCUGUCUCUUAGUUCAUCUACUGUAGGUCUCUGGUUAAGCUUUCUUGUCAGUCUUUGUUUGAUUUCCCUUCUUUCUUCCUGUUCGGUUUGAUCGUUUCGUUGUUUAAGUAUAUUUCUUCUUUCUAGCUCCUCAACAGCAGGUCUUUGGCUGAGUCGCCUGCGGAAAAACACCAAAAUCACAUUUUGUACCAUGCCUGUUCUUUGGAAAGUCUGCAGGAUUCCAAGUUCUGCUUUGUGUUUUCCUUAUGAGUGUUUAUGGGUAGGAGGAGAACACAAAAUCCUU